AUAGCCCUGCGGUUGCAGGCGUGAAGUGUUCGUUUUUUAGCACAGACCGCAGGUGGCCUAUAGCCCUGCGGUUGCAGGCGUGAAGUGUUCGUUUUUUAGCACAGACCGCAGGUGGCCUAUAGCCCUGGGGUUGCAGGCGUGAAGUGUUCGUUUUUUAGCACAGACCGCAGGUGGCCUAUAGCCCUGCGGUUGCAGGCGUGAAGUGUUCGUUUUUUAGCACAGACCGCAGGUGGCCUAUAGCCCUGCGGUUGCAGGCGUGAAGUGUUCGUUUUUUAGCACAGACCGCAGGUGGCCUAUAGCCCUGCGGUUGCAGGCGUGAAGUGUUCGUUUUUUAGCACAGACCGCAGGUGGCCUAUAGC